rnacentral:rRNA from 1 species
AGGACGAACGCUGGCGGCGUGCUUAACACAUGCAAGUCGAGCGGAAAGGCCCUUCGGGGUACUCGAGCGGCGAACGGGUGAGUAACACGUGAGCAACCUGCCCCUGGCUCUGGGAUAGCCUCCGGAAACGGGGAUUAAUACCGGACAUUCUCCGCCUUCCGCAUGGUUGGCGGUGGAAAGUUUUUUUCGGCCGGGGAGGGGCUCGCGGCCUAUCAGCUUGUUGGCGGGGUAACGGCCCACCAAGGCGACGACGGGUAG